GACGAACGCUGGCGGCGUGCUUAACACAUGCAAGUCGAACGGAAAGGCCCUGCUUUUGUGGGGUGCUCGAGUGGCGAACGGGUGAGUAACACGUGAGUAACCUGCCCUUGACUUUGGGAUAACUUCAGGAAACUGGGGCUAAUACCGGAUAGGAGCUCCUGCUGCAUGGUGGGGGUUGGAAAGUUUCGGCGGUUGGGGAUGGACUCGCGGCUUAUCAGCUUGUUGGUGGGGUAGUGGCUUACCAAGGCUUUGACGGGUAGCCGGCCUGAGAGGGUGACCGGCGAUAUUGGGACCGAGGUACGGCCCAGACUCCUACGGGAGGCAGCAGGGGGGAAUAUUGCACAAGGGGCGGAAGCCUGAUGAAGAAACGCCGCGGGCGGGAUGACGGCCUUAGGGUUGUAAAACGCUUUCGCAUGUGACGAAGCGUGAGUGACGGUAAUGGGUAAAGAAGCACCGGCUAACUACGUGC
rnacentral:rRNA from 1 species